AAGUAGCACAUUUACUCGCGCGGAGUAGAGGUUUUUAGUCUUGAAAAGCUAAACUGCGUGGCGGCUUAAUAACCACAUAGAGGGGCAUGCUUUUUAAUUCGACGGUACCCGAAUAUCUUACCUAAUCUAGCCCCAUUAACAUUUUACACACCGCCGUCUGAAGAGCCGUUUUAAUAGAUUGCUCAUUUUCCCAAUUCUAAGGAUUUAAGUCAGGUCAAGGCGUAGAUAAUGAUUAGGAUAAAGUGUGUCUCUAUAUUAUUAUUAUGUCUCAAUUUAUAUAUGUAUAUCAUAUGUUGAAAUACUAAAAAGUAAGUGAAUCUAUAAGUAAAAUUUAUACAUAAGGUAAAUUUGAAUAGAGCUCUAUUAUGUGU
rnacentral:rRNA from 1 species